rnacentral:misc_RNA from 1 species
GAUGAAGAACGCAGCGAAAUGCGAUAGGUAAUGUGAAUUGCAGAAUUCCGUGAAUCAUCGAGUCUUUGAACGCACAUUGCGCCCCCUGGUAUUCCGGGGGGCAUGCCUGUCCGAGCGUCAUUGCAACCCUCAAGCACGGCUUGUCUAAUGGGCGGUUCGUCUGCGGCCAUCCGCCGGAGACGCCCCCGAAAUGCAGUGGGGAUGUUCGCUAAAUCGCAGCGUCAGGAAUGGAAAUAAACAAUGCUGACGGCUCGAUGUCGAACGUCCACCUAAGGCGUGCCGCCCCCCGGGGUGUGCCGCCCAACCUCUCUCGGUUGACCUCGGAUCAGGUAGUGAUACCCGCUGAACUUAAGCAUAUCAAUAAGCGGAGGA